AGAAAUUAUGUUGAUGUCUCUCAAUCUGCGAUUAUUAUCGCGUUGAUGUUUUAUGUGUUAAUAUGUUAAUCGCUUUUGAUUGAAUGAUACCUAUCUGUAAUCUCAUUUUUAUUUUAUUAUUGACAUGUUAACACCGUAGAUUAUUCUCGCUUUUUUCAGGAAAGAUUCACGUUAUGCAUCACAUUAACACUUCUUUAUGUAAAAAAAGAUUUUAAUUAGAAUAAAUUAUAUAAAUAUAUAAUAAAGAUAUAAAACUAAUAAAAAUAAACUAUAUAAAAAGUAUCAUUAUUCUAUUAUAUAAAGAAUAAUAGAAAACAAAAUCAAAUUGAAAAUUAUAUAAUCUACGCGAGAAACAAAUAUUGGUACUUUUGUUCUUUAAUAUUGCACCAAGGAUAAUAUUAAUUGUGUGUAAUUAAAAAAUAUCGACUGAAUGAAUAAUUUUUUUGUUAAAUACGAUUUAUUCAAUUCUCUCUUUCUCUCUUCCCGCGCGAAUUAUACUUUCAUAUUUUAUUUUAAAGACAAUUUUUAAAAAACAAAAAUUAUAAAAUUAUAAAAAAGUAAUUUUCUAACCAAUAAUAAUAAAUUGCAGGUUUCAGGAAUUCCCCGGAUAAACGUUGCAUGAUUCUUCACGAAUGCAAAUUCUAAAUUGUUUUGAAAUGGAUAUUCAAUUUGAGAGAGGAAUAACUGACUAUUUAAAAAAUAAAAUGAUUAGUUAUCUGAUGAAAAAUUUAGAGAAUGGCAAAUUUAGAGAGUUCUUCGAUAAAAUUGUUCCACGGUUGCGUGAAGCUAGAAUUGACCCAGUUGCCUAUAAAGCGAUAUGCAAGGCGGUCUCAGCGUCGCGGCGCUAUUUUUGCUCGCCGCGUCGCUAACUUUAGACGUACGGCCGACGGACGCUCCCUAAUAAGUUCAAGCGACGAUUAUGGUGGUCGACACCGCCGCCGCCGCAGCCACAGUCGACGAGGACGGAUAAAACAUAACGCCCCUCUGCGAGGCAGCGGCGAGCGUGCCAAAAUUAUGCCUGCCCGCGCGGAAAAGGAACCAACGUGAUUGCACGGCCGAAGACCUCGACUAUGAUUAUGAACGCAACGACAAAGGGAUGGCGGUAAUGUUGAUUUAACAUUAACGCUGCUUGUAACUCGUUCCUCGUAUCUCGCUAGUAGUACUUUAGAAAGAGACGGCUGUAAACUGUUUAAAGUUUGAAGUUCAUGUUGAUGUUUAAAAUUUACCGACAUUAAGGAAACUGAUCUUUAGAAGAAUGAGUAAUUUUAGGAACCAAGAAGAGAGAAGAAGGCACGAGGGUGCGAUUUACAGAGGAUAGGUCCUUUAAUGGGCAUGAAAGUAGCCACGAACAAUAUCGCAAAUAUGAAACUAUAAUUGUAUGGCUCGUUAAAUAUUUUUCAGCACAAGUCUCGCUUAUUGCACGUUAUUAGGAUGACGGAUGUGCCAUACGACACAAUAAUUAUACGAGUGGUUUGACAAUGCGCCAAGAUUCGAUCUCAAUGGAUACAGUGAUAUGCUGCGAACUUGAACUUCUUUCGAGGAGUCGGCAGCGAACUGAAGACUUUUUUUUAGGUGUAAUUUAUUUAAAAAUUUGUGUGAUUAUACAACGACAUACAUGUGGAAAGAAAUUUGACAAAAUGAAUGGAAGCCUGAGAUUGUCUAUGAGGAGUUUGAGAGUGCUACGCCAAAAGUAUGCCAUAAAUCAAAUAUGCAAGGUACAUGAGGUAAUGUAAAAGAUUAUAUAACAAUAACGAUAGUGUGGAGUGACAUAAUGUAUAUUUGACUUGACUUUGACAUUGUAUAUAACAAUAUUUAUAAUAAUAUAGUAUAAUAUUUACAAAAUAAGUUAAAGUAUAGAAGUACACAUCAGUAGAGCUUAAUUGCUUUAGUUAGCAGACUAGACAUAAUUAUAUGCAAUACGUAUUGAGAGAUAGAUUUCUUGGACGGUGAUGAAAGACGCUCGCGCGACAGUGAAUAAAGCGCGACCUUCCCAAAGUAGUCUCGAAAUUCGUUGCCAAGCACAAUGUUGUCGUCAAGAUCCUUGCAUAUCCUUACACUUCUGUCCAGAAUGUUCCUUUCGCGAAAGAAAGAUGCACCUGGUCUCUCCUCUACGUAUCCCUUCAAGGCCU